UACGAGAGGCCCAAACGUUAUUCGGAUUUACUGGGCUUAAAGAGUUCGUAGGCGGCUCGGCAAGUGAGGUGUGAAAUCCCUUGGCUCAACCAAGGAAUUGCGCUUCAAACUGCCGGGCUCGAGGGAGAUAGAGGUGAGCGGAACUGAUGGUGGAGCGGUGAAAUGCGUUGAUAUCAGCAGGAACACCAGAGGCGAAGGCGGCUCACUGGGUCUCUUCUGACGCUGAGGAACGAAAGCUAGGGGAGCAAACGGG
rnacentral:rRNA from 1 species